rnacentral:rRNA from 1 species
GCGAACGGGUGAGUAAUGCUUAGGAAUCUGCCUAUUAGUGGGGGACAACAUUCCGAAAGGAAUGCUAAUACCGCAUACGUCCUACGGGAGAAAGCAGGGGAUCGUUUGACCUUGCGCUAAUAGAUGAGCCUAAGUCGGAUUAGCUAGUUGGUGGGGUAAAGGCCUACCAAGGCGACGAUCUGUAGCUGGUCUGAGAGGAUGAUCAGCCACACUGGGACUGAGACACGGCCCAGACUCCUACGGGAGGCAGCAGUGGGGAAUAUUGGACAAUGGGCGAAAGCCUGAUCCAGCCAUGCCGCGUGUGUGAAGAAGGCCUUUUGGUUGUAAAGCACUUUAAGUGGGGAGGAAAAGCUAAUAAUUAAUACCUAUUAGCCCUGACGUUACCCACAGAAUAAGCACCGGCUAACUCUGUGCCAGCAGCCGCGGUAAUACAGAGGGUGCAAGCGUUAAUCGGAAUUACUGGGCGUAAAGCGAGCGUAGGUGGUUACUUAAGUCAGAUGUGAAAGCCCUGGGCUUAACCU